UUGACCUCGGAUCAGGUAGGGAUACCCGCUGAACUUAAGCAUAUCAAUAAGCGGAGGAAAAGAAACCAACAGGGAUUGCCUCAGUAACGGCGAGUGAAGCGGCAACAGCUCAA
rnacentral:rRNA from 1 species